rnacentral:rRNA from 1 species
CAUGCCGUAAACGAUGAGUGCUAAGUGUUAGGGGGUUUCCGCCCCUUAGUGCUGCAGCUAACGCAUUAAGCACUCCGCCUGGGGAGUACGACCGCAAGGUUGAAACUCAAAGGAAUUGACGGGGGCCCGCACAAGCGGUGGAGCAUGUGGUUUAAUUCGAAGCAACGCGAAGAACCUUACCAGGUCUUGACAUCCCGAUGACCGCUCUAGAGAUAGAGUUUUCCCUUCGGGGACAUUGGUGACAGGUGG